rnacentral:rRNA from 1 species
CUACGGGGUGCAGCAGUGGGGAAUAUUGGACAAUGGGGGAAACCCUGAUCCAGCAAUGCCGCGUGUGUGAAGAAGGCCUGCGGGUUGUAAAGCACUUUCGGUUGGGAGGACUGCUUCUAGCACUAAUAUUGUUGGAAGUUGACGUUACCUUCAGAAGAAGCACCGGCUAACUCCGUGCCAGCAGCCGCGGUAAUACGGAGGGUGCGAAGCGUUAAUCGGAAUUACUGGUCGUAAAGCGCGCGUAGGCGGCUAGAUCAGUCGGGUGUGAAAGCCCCGGGCUUAACCUGGGAACUGCAUCCGAUACUGUCUAGCUUGAGUACAGGAGAGGAGAGUGGAAUUCCACAUGUAGCGGUGAAAUGCGUAGAUAUGUGGAGGAACACCAAUGGCGAAGGCAGCUCUCUGGCCUGAUACUGACGCUGAGGUGCGAAAGCGUGGGGAGCAAACAGGAUUAGAUACCCGGGUAGUC